rnacentral:rRNA from 1 species
CCUACGGGUGGCAGCAGUGGGGAAUAUUGGUCAAUGGCCGGAAGGCUGAACCAGCCAAGCCGCGUGAGGGAGGAAGGCGCAGAGCGUGGCAGACCUCUUUUGCCGGGGGACAAAAGGCCGGACUCGUCCGGUCCUGAGGGUACCCGGAGAAUAAGCAUCGGCUCACUCCGUGCCAGCAGCCGCGGUAAUACGGGGGGUGCAAGCGUUAUCCGGAUUUGUUGGGUUUAAAGGGUGCGUAGGCUGGUAGGUAAGUCAGCGGUGAAAUGCCCCCGCUCAACGGGGGGAAGUGCCAUUGAUACUGGCAUGCUGGAAUGCGGAUGAGGUGGGAGGAAUGUGUGGUGUAGCGGUGAAAUGCAUAGAUAUC